GGUUAUAUAGUGUAGUGGUUAGCACCCGGGAUUUUGAUUCCCGUAACCCAAGUUCGACUCUUGGUAUGACCA
rnacentral:tRNA from 1 species